AAACUUUCAACAAUGGAUCUCUUGGUUCUGGCAUCGAUGAAGAACGCAGCGAAAUGCGAUAAGUAGUGUGAAUUGCAGAAUUCAGUGAAUCAUCGAAUCUUUGAACGCACAUUGCGCCCCUUGGUAUUCCGGGGGGCAUGCCUGUUCGAGCGUCAUUU
rnacentral:rRNA from 1 species